CCUACGGGAGGCAGCCGUGGGGAAUUUUGGACAAUGGGCGAAAGCCUGAUCCAGCAAUGCCGCGUGCAGGAUGAAGGCCUUCGGGUUGUAAACUGCUUUUGUACGGAACGAAACGGUUCGCCUUAAUACGGUGGGCUAAUGACGGUACCGUAAGAAUAAGCACCGGCUAACUACGUGCCAGCAGCCGCGGUAAUACGUAGGGUGCGAGCGUUAAUCGGAAUUACUGGGCGUAAAGCGUGCGCAGGCGGUUAUAUAAGACAGAUGUGAAAUCCCCGGGCUCAACCUGGGACCUGCAUUUGUGACUGUAUAGCUAGAGUACGGUAGAGGGGGAUGGAAUUCCGCGUGUAGCAGUGAAAUGCGUAGAUAUGCGGAGGAACACCGAUGGCGAAGGCAAUCCCCUGGACCUGUACUGACGCUCAUGCACGAAAGCGUGGGGAGCAAACAGGAUUAGAUACCCUGGUAGUCCACGCCCUAAACGAUGUCAACUGGUUGUUGGGUCUUCACUGACUCAGUAACGAAGCUAACGCGUGAAGUUGACCGCCUGGGGAGUACGGCCGCAAGGUUGAAACUUCAAAGGAAUUGACGGCNGNGAGNGCGAGGACGACGACGAGGGAGGAGG
rnacentral:rRNA from 1 species